GCCUAAGUACUAAGUGAGCUGUACCCCACGAAAAGCAGACAAGCGAAAGCGGAAGGGAAGCAACAGUUAAAGCCACAGCGCGUCUAAAAGCCGGCUACACUACAAAGUUUAUUGGCAUAAAAAAUCAAAACAGCAGAAAAACCACAAACACCGUUAAAUAGGGUAAACCGUGAGGAAAAGAGAGCAGAACUAAAGUGUGGUAAACAACUUUGAAAAAAUCGAAGAAAAAGAGGAGAGAGGAAGUAGAAAGGUGAGGUACACAGAGAAUGCGUGCAAAAGGCAAGCAAUUGAGGAAAACAGGCGAAAACACUCAAAGAGACGUUUAAGUGCAAUAACAGUUGCAACAACAACAAAAAAAAACACUUGAACGAUAACAAAACUGUAGCGGCGGGCGAAACUGCAACUGCAACAUCAACAACACAGCCACAGCUACAACGGCAACAUCAUCCACAAAAAAAAAAAACACCAAUACGAAGAGUAAGACUAGCAAAAAGGGUAGGCGCAGACAAGCAAUCGAAAAAAGUGCAACCGACCGAGCAAAGCAAAAAAGGUGAAAAGUGGCGAGUGCUGAGUUCCGAGUGGUGGCGGAUCGACACAGCUGGAAAGAAGAGUAAUAGAAAAACAUAAAGACCUUUUGUGGCAACUUGAGAACUUCUUCCUUCUUACGAAUAUCAUCGCAUUUCCAUUCACAAAAAAAAAGGACAAACACACAACUUUAAGUGCAGCUUCAGUGCAAAGAAUAGAAGCGAAGUUUGUUUUUUCAGUCUUAGAGUGCGACUGCGGGACUGCCAAUAGAAGGACCUUGGCGUCAGCGGUGAAGAAUAUAAUCGAAUAAAAUAUUUCAAAAAAAAAACAUAAAAAGGCAGCGAACAGCAGCUGGGAAGGGAGAACGACUGCAGCAAAACAAAAAAAAAUCACUGUGCAGAUAAUCUUCAGGUGACUAUAAAGGCACCACACAAAUUUGAUAAUAGUGAGUGUGAAUAAGUAGAUAUUGUGCUGCAGCAUGCAACAAACGUUUGCCACUUACAAUGGCAUUUGUAGCCUGCAGGCAUAAACCGCGCGCAAGUUGCUUAGCGUAGUCAGCCCACUAGCUUAACUCGUUCUAUUAGAUCAUAACUCAAUACGCACUAAAUAUUC